GAGGGGCUCGCUCCGCCCGAGGAGGCCGCCAGCAGCUGGGUGAGGCUGUGCCGCAUGGCGGCCGACGGACGGAGGAGGGGGCGGCGGCGGCGGCGGCCGCGGGGCCCCAGGAGAGCGGCGCGGAGCGGCGGUGCCGCGGGCUCUCACAGGGUGUCUCCAGGCCUUCUGUCAGAUCUUCUGCAUCUUUGCCCGUCUCCGCGUCACUUGUGUGGUUGGCCAUCACUGCCUCUCUCUCCUCGUGGGCCCUGAAGACUCUGUCACACACAAAGAUGAAACAACAUUUCAUAGGGACCGAUUCUCUUAGUGACAUUCGUCAGAUUUAAGUGUUCCCAGCACUGCACUAAGCUGGUGGACAGGGAAUCUCAAAACCAAGAGCAGCCCUGCAGCCCUCCCUGCCUCUGGAGACCUCACGAUGCAGACUGAAGAGAAGGACCAGACCCCACGAUGCAAAAGCAAAGAACUGUAGGCGUGGUAUUGACAUAAGCCUAUUCAUUUGCCAAUUACUAGCUUUGGUAAUUAUUCCUUCUUAAAGCACUGUUUGUUUGAGCUACAAGAAGUACUAUUACAUUUAGGUAAAAAGCCAGUAAAUGAUAAAAGUGUAAAUAAUUCCUUAUCAAUCCUUUUCCUCUGCUUUUAUUUUCUCCUGCAGAUACAGAAUUAUAAAUGUAAGUAGAGCACAGAGGGUCAGAUCAAUCCUCAAACUGAUUUUGAUACUAUAUUACUCAUUAAAAAUAGCUGAAUAGCCUUACACUGUGCUUAGAGAUUCAUGAAUUAAAAAAAAAAAACAUCUA